rnacentral:rRNA from 1 species
GCACCUUUCGGGGUGAGCGGCGGACGGGUUAGUAACGCGUGGGAAUAUACCCUUUGGUACGGAAUAGCCUCUGGAAACGGAGAGUAAUACCGUAUGAGCCCUUCGGGGGAAAGAUUUAUCGCCAAAGGAUUAGCCCGCGUUAGAUUAGGUAGUUGGUGGGGUAAUGGCCUACCAAGCCUACGAUCUAUAGCUGGUUUUAGAGGAUGAUCAGCAACACUGGGACUGAGACACGGCCCAGACUCCUACGGGAGGCAGCAGUGGGGAAUCUUGGACAAUGGGCGCAAGCCUGAUCCAGCCAUGCCGCGUGAGUGAUGAAGGCCUUAGGGUCGUAAAGCUCUUUCGCCUGUGAAGAUAAUGACGGUAGCAGGUAAAGAAACCCCGGCUAACUCCGUGCCAGCAGCCGCGGUAAUACGGAGGGGGUUAGCGUUGUUCGGAAUUACUGGGCGUAAAGCGCACGUAGGCGGACUGGAAAGUAUGGGGUGAAAUCCCAGGGCUCAACCCUGGAACUGCCUCAUAAACUAUCAGUCUAGAGUUCGAGAGAGGUGAGUGGAAUUCCGAGUGUAGAGGUGAAAUUCGUAGAUAUUCGGAGGAACACCAGUGGCGAAGGCGGCUCACUGGCUCGAUACUGACGCUGAGGUGCGAAAGUGUGGGGAGCAAACAGGAUUAGAUACCCUGGUAGUCCACACCGUAAACGAUGAAUGCCAGUCGUCGGGUAGCAUGCUAUUCGGUGACACACCUAACGGAUUAAGCAUUCCGCCUGGGGAGUACGGUCGCAAGAUUAAAACUCAAAGGAAUUGACGGGGGCCCGCCCAAGCGGUGGAGCAUGUGGUUUAAUUCGAAG